GUGGACUUCCUAGCUGCCUGGAAGCCAGUAUUCUGCUAACAGCCUUCCGACGAAGAUGUAGAACUCUCGGCUCCUCCUGCACCAUGCCUGUCUGGAUGCUACCACACUUCCUGCCGUGAUGAUAAUGGACUGAACCUCUGAACAUGCAGCUGCUUCGAGUUCCUGCCACUGUGACUGCUCAGCUAUGACGUACUGUAACCUGGGACUGUAAGCUGAAGGAACUCCUUUCUCUCUUAAGUUUGGUGACCUUGUGAGUUUGUGGCAUGUGCCUUUGUGAGGAUCCCUUCCAUUCGCUUCUGCAUACAGCCCACACAGGCUCUGGGACGUCAAUAAAGACUUGCUGAAUGAUGGAAUAAACUUCUACAGGCCACUGACCCUCUCCUGCCUCCCAAGCCAUCUGCUGCCUCUAUGGACUUCAGGGAGGAUUACAGGGCAUAUCCUUCAGAGAGCUUUCCGGAUUAUAGACACAACUAAAUAAAUGUCAGGCGUCAUUAAGAAUCUCAAAUGAGGCGGGAAGCUUGACUAGUCUGCUCUAUGUUGCUUCGUGUGCUGUUAAUAAUAAAAGCCAACAUUUAUUGAGGGUUUGCUCUGCGGUAGGCACCAAGCCAAGCCCUUGUUCACAGCAGCUUCAGAGGCAGGAGCAGAGGGGUCAAGAGUUAACACAGCCAGUUUGCCUGAGGGCAUCUCUAGGCUCCACCCAGCACUGCUGAGAGUCCCCGACAAUCUCUUGUGCCUUAGUUUUUCCUCUAAAAAAGGGGAGUGGAAGACAAUGCCAGCUUUAACAAAGCUGUGAUUUAUUAAUAACAAAAAUAUGAUUAAUAAUUUGAAAAAUAUUACAGGAAGCAGCAUUAUCAUUUUGUUGCUAUCGGUAAAUCAAAAUGUGUCAAAUACUUAGUGUGGCACUCUGUGUGACACCUGACAAACACUGUGCAGAGGGCUGAGACAUCCUGACUUAUAAAUGGUGGUACAUGAGUUGUAAGUGUGAAGUCCUCUAGCUGUUGAUGGGCGUCUCCCUGACAGCCCCACAACCCAGAGCCCAUGCUCUUUGAGACCCUGCAUUAGCUACUUUACAAUUGACUGGUUCAAAAUACCUGAUAAAAAGCAACUUAAGGAAGAAAGGGUUUGUUCUUGGCUCAUAGUUUGAGGGUACUGUCCAGCAAAACAGGAGUUUGAG
ensembl:lncRNA LOC102556363 uncharacterized LOC102556363